rnacentral:lncRNA from 10 species
GUGAGGUUUCCGGAGUGAGUUGGGGCUUGAGGCAGGUAGAGCCUCCCAUCCUGGUCCCUGGAUUCUGUUGGGUUUUGGUUUGGUUCCUGUAGGACUACUUCAAGCUGGCUGGAGAAGGGACUUUUUCUGAUUUCUUACCCCCCAGAUUCUUCCGCAAAACGAAUUGGCUCCAGCCAGUCUGGAGUUGCCUGUCUUCUUGUUUUUUAGAUGAGAGGGAAGCAGAGCAUAAUGAACUGAUGCAACAGGCAAGAUCCCUGGUCUUCAGAAGGAAAUAGUCUCCUCUCCUGCUGACUUUGUGAGGCAAAGCAGAUCAGAAAGGGUGAAAAUUCUUUCACCAGAGAUGGGCAAACUGAGACCGCAAGCCCUGGAGAUGUGCUCAGGCAGAUGUGCAGGUCCCCUGCUCCAGCUUCCAGGCUCCCGGGCUUCAGUCUUCAGUCGGCCUUUGUUCUGCCGCUUUCUCCUGGAAGUCACACCGCCCUCUCUUCCUGCCUGCCACAUCGCAGGAGUCUGCACGCACCCAACCGGCUCAAGAGGCUCUGACAGGUUGAGAUGCCUUGGAGGAGGGGACGCUGUCCACAGACCUAGCUGGAAGGAUUACUGAUGGAUUCGAGGAGACCAUGUGCUUUUCAGGAGGGUCCAAAACAAAUACAAUGCCAGUCACAGAGGUAAUUUUAUAUUUUCUAGUAGCUACAUUAUAAAAAGCAAAAAAGAAACGUGACUGAUUUUUUUUUUUUUUUUUUUUUUUUNNNNNNNNNNNNNNNNNNNNNNNNNNNNNNNNNNNCUCGGCCUCCCAAAGUGCUGGGAUUACAGGCUUGAGCCACCGCGCCCGGCCUUGUUGCUGUAAAAACAUAUUACAUUAAAUUUACCGUCUUAGUCAUUUUUAAGUGUAUGGCUCGGUAGUGUUACAUAUAUUCACAUUGUCA